rnacentral:rRNA from 2 species
UUGACGGAGAGUUUGAUCCUGGCUCAGGACGAACGCUGGCGGCGUGCUUAAUACAUGCAAGUCGAACGAUCCCGGGACUUCGGUUCCAAUGGGAGAGUGGCGAACGGGUGCGUAACACGUGAGAAACCUGUCCCGGAGAUGGGAAUAGCCCAGGGAAACCUGGAUUAAUACCCAAUACCCUGAGAGCGUCGCAUGGCGCAUUCAGGAAAGGUUCCGGCGCUUUGGGAGGGUCUCGCGGCCUAUCAGCUUGUUGGUGAGGUAAAGGCUCACCAAGGCAUCGACGGGUAGCUGGUCUGAGAGGACGAUCAGCCACACUGGGACUGAGACACGGCCCAGACUCCUAC